rnacentral:lncRNA from 1 species
CAGGUGCUGAUGACUGAACACUUAGACUCACACAUCAUAUGUGGGUUCAGAAGACCUUCCAGAGGAUUUCGAGGAUCUUCUGUCCUCAAGGAAUCGAUUACAGAUUUCUACUUGCAGAAAAGCUCAGCUGGACACAGCUCAAGUGAGCUGCACAUAUAUUCUCCCUCUACAACCCACUAUAAAGGAGUGGAUGCUCUCUGGAACAUUCUAACCCCACUGCAGAGGCUCAGAACAGAGUAACAAUCACUGGUGUGGACAAUGUAUCUAAGGCUUAAGCUGUCUUGGAGAUGUCAGCAGUCAUCAUCAUUGUGGGACGCCUGACUUGCCAGCAAGAAAGACGCCACAGCAGGAUCCUUCUGCAACACGUUUAUUGGGAGAGCAUUGACUGCGUAGGCAAAAGACCCCGAGCCCCAGAACUGGUGCUGUUUAUAUAGGCCUAGGAGUGACGUGUCCACACCUGAUUGGUUGUGCCCUCAGCACCUCAUUCACGUGCCUUGGACCAGGCAGUGACUCAGCAAAAAACUCUAUGGUACAUGCACACAU